rnacentral:lncRNA from 1 species
UUUCUCAAAUAACAUCCAAUAGUUGCACCAAGGGAUAUAAAUCUCGAAUUUUUGUUAAUCACUCAAAUUAUCUUGCACAAAUAUAAAAAAAAAUGAUUACAUAAAUAUCAAUUUCCAUGUCGAGAAAGUGGCGAGAUUUGAUCCCACGAACUUUGUUCUGUUUCUUUUUUUCUUCAGAAACAAGUCAACAAGUAUAAUUAUGAAAAAAAAUAAAACUGUGAAACAAAUGCAAUUUCCAUAGGAUUAGUGUUGAUCUCCACCUACUAGUGACCGCGCCCGCGACGACUUGGCCCUGAGUAAGCUCGGUCCAAUACGAAACCCUUCAUGGAUGAAGCAAAAGACGGAUCGCUGAGAGGUCUCAAACCCUCCACAGGCAUCGAGUGAGAGAGCAAGAGAAAGAAGACAAGUAUGGAAAUGGCAUUGAAGGCCAAUACAAAAGAACGGUAAUUCAUUUUUGUAUUGGUUUUUUUC